rnacentral:misc_RNA from 1 species
UGAACACGCCAUUCCAAAAACAAUUCGCUUAUGCACUCGCUUCUCUUGCUAUCUAUCUUAUUCAACAAUCCUGCAAGUUGACUCACGGCUGCGCCAACCAGCAUACACGCACACGCACACAACACCACGCACACACAGCAGCAGCAGACUCCUUAUAGGGACAAACAUAUAAGCCGGUAUUUCUCUUCUUCUUCUUGCCUCCACCUACGCACCCGCACCCACCCAACAAGGCUUACUCCGCUUUUAUUUUCAGUUAUCUUUUUUUCAUUUGCGUGUCUCUUUUUUUCUUUUUUUUUCACUGAUCGCUCGGCUUUGUGCGCGCGUGUGGCCCUCCGCGCGCCUGCCGCGUUGGCGCAGCCAAGCAUUGCCCUCCGGCCGCCACCGUACCGGACACAAAUAUCGAAGUCUGUCGUUUCUUUUGGUCUUUCACAUCGCACAUUUCUCUCUCCCCAUUUUGCCUCUUUUCAGGUUAUCGAAAAGGCAUAGCCGACAUACUUGCUUGCUCGAACACAGCUCCACUUGCCUGCCUGCUGCCCUUCCCCUGCCGGUUGUGCCCCCUUUUCUCUGACCACGCUGAUAGCGGCACAUUCGCAUUCCCCGUCACCAACGGACUCACAGCCAAUGUAUCAGGACUCGAAGAUUUUGAUGAUAUUCAAGUCGCUGCGCGACAUCGUGGUGAUUGGCGACAAUGAUAUGGUUAUCACCGACAUGAACGCUGCGGCUGUGGCUUUCUUUGGCUGGAAGGUCGAUGAUGUAAAGGGCAAGAGCAUCACCUUUCUCGUCCCCACUCACCCGCUGGAUGUGCAGGACAACACCGUCACCCUUAUGGCACACCUUGCCAACUCUACUGAUGUUCCUGUGGUGAUCCAAACCACCCGCGAUCCCCACGCAACAGUGGUAGCCUGGACGAUCUUGCCUAUCCGUCUUCCCCGCGUGUACGAGUUUGGGGUGCACAUAAACAUUCGUGCCGCCCUCACCCCGAAGCUGUCCGUCUCGGACUUGGACUUUAAGAACCGCACGGUGUUCCUGCGUGUGGACUUCAACGUACCGUUCGACCGCGAGACCGGCUCCAUUCGCGAUGACAGCCGCAUCUGUGCAGCGGUGCCGACCAUUCGCAAGAUCAUGGAGGACGGAGGGCGUGUGGUGAUUGGGUCUCACCUGGGUCGUCCCAAAAAGCCGAAUGCGAAUCAAUCCCUCAAGCGCAUCUUGCCUCGUCUGCAAGAGGUGCUGGAGAAGGAGGUCACCUUCUGCACGGACGCCUUCAAGGCUGGCAAGGAUGUGAAGGAGAUGAGGAACGGGGAUGUCAUGCUGCUGGAGAACCUGCGUUUUUUCAAGGGCGAAGAUAGCAAGGAUGCUGCCGAGCGGAACAAGUUGGCCUCAGCGCUCGCUUCCUUUAGCGAUAUCUUUGUCUGCGAUGCUUUCGGUACCGUGCAUCGCAUGACGGCCAGCAUGACGGGUGUGCCCCGCGUCUUGGGUGCUGGGGUGACAGGCUUCCUGAUCGAAAAGGAAAUCAGCGCCAUCAGUAUGGUGAUGCGCAACCCGGAGCAGCCGCUGGUCGCAGUCGUUGGCGGCUCCAAGGUGUCGGACAAGAUCAACGUCCUCUCCUCCAUCUUCAACUUCGCGCACACAGUGAUCAUCGGCGGUGCCAUGGCCUACACCUUCCUGGAGGCGCAAGGCUACAGCGUGGGCAAGAGCAAGGUGGAGCGGGUAGUGCGGGAGAAGGGACGUGAUGUGGAUCUGCAUAACACCGCUCGCGAUCUGAUGGAUCUUGCCAAGGCCCGCAAGGUGCGCCUCAUCCUGCCCAUCGAUCACAGCUGCGCCAAGGAGUUCAAAGACGCGGAGCCGUUCGUCACGAACAACGCUGACAUUCCCGCAGAGUACAUGGGACUGGACUACGGCCCCAAGUCCAUUGAACAGGCGAAGAAGGCCGUUGCGGAGGCCCGCACGCUCAUCUGGAACGGCCCUCUCGGCGUCUUUGAGUUCCCGCACUUCGCGACAGGCACCAACGCCAUCGCGGAGUCUAUCAAGGAUAACAAGCACGUUGUUUCCAUCGUCGGUGGUGGUGAGACGGCGGCGGCGACAAAAGGCUACCACGAGUGCAUCACCCACGUAAGCACCGGCGGUGGUGCCUUCCUGGAGCUACUAGAGGGACGCGCACUGCCAGGCCUCAUCUGCCUCACCGCUCGUGCCUCUCCUAAGUUGUAGAGGUGAGGCAACGCGGAGCUUGAAAGUGACGUCUGCGGGGGUGGGCAGAGGUACAUCAGUGCACAGCGGGUCUGUAUGUGUGUAUGUGUGUGCGUGCAAGUGUUGUGCGGCCGAUGCGGUGGAACGAACUGCAUUGCAUCACUGCUGGAGUGCAUCCUUGUUCCAUCCACAGCUGUUGUCCCCCGCCGCUUGACUCGCCACUCCCGGUCCUGUCUUCUUUAAAGCAACACUGUAAGUAAGUGCGCGUGUAGAUGUGCCGAUGCUUUUUUGAUCUCGGCCGCGGGGCGACCUCUCUGCUUCCGCCAAGGUGGCCUUCUCUGUCUGGCUUCCGCAGCUUCUCAUCGCUUACCGUGAGAAGAGAGGGAGAGACAUAAACACACACACACAUGCACACAUGUACUUCCGAUUUCGUGAGGAAAAAGGAGUACGACCAAGACGUUCAUAAGAGGGGCGACACACGCACGAGGGAAAAGGAAAACGGAAACAUGGCAACUGGGGCGAAAGAAACGGCGCACACGUUCACGUACACUGAGCAACGAGAGAAGACGGCCAGGCACCACAACAUGCUUGUUUACAGUGCGACUGCGCCCAACGGCGCACACAUCGACCGGCGGCGAAAAGACGAUGUCAACGAAACUAAAAAAAGCGUUUUUUUUUUAAUCUUGGUGAAGAAUCACGACGUACUGCACACUUCAGCCUUUCUUUUUUUUCGAUGGCCUUUUACUCUGUCCUUUCCGGCCCCGAGGACGGAGGGAGACCUGAGUGGGUGGUAUCUCAGGGUCCAGUCCCCCAUGCAGUGGGAGGCGACUAGGCGGCCCCCCUAUCCCUGUCCAUGCCGAGACACUUCCGGUGGCGACAAGGGCCAGGCACCUUCGAGGUGGGGAAGUCGGUGCAGUGUGUCGCUACCGAUGUCGGCAGCCAGGCCCUGGAUGGCGUGGUGUCGAAGCCGCCCGAGCCAGUGAGCACGUUGGUGCCACUCACAUGAUUAGGCAGAGCGUCAGCGUGACUCGAGCAUAUCCCGCCCGGCCCUCACACAGCCUACCAGUGGGAGGGAAGCCUGAGCCGCCUCAGGGAGCGGAUGCACCAGGUGGCGCCCGGCAUGAUGUGAGCGGCUGUGAGGCGACCUGCAAAGCGGGUGGUGUGUAGAGUUCGGGGCAGCGGACGUGUUCGGGUGACGGCGCCGGCGUUGCCUUCAUGCAUACCUAGGGCGGCUUCACACCACGCGGUAGGGGGGGUCGGGUGUGCUCAUUGCUCUAUCGCAGAAUCGGCGAGUUGGGAAAAAAGCCUUUCCUUCACCGACGUGCAGCUGUGUUGACUCUCCUGACUGACCCCUGUGCUACACAGGCGCCAUGUGACGCAGCAACGCUCCGGCAGAAGGUAUAACAAGAAAAAGGGAGACUUGAUGCCAGGCGCAUGUGAGAAGAAGCAGUAAGUCACGUCAGCCAUUGUGGCUGUGCUGCCAUCUCGAACUUCUGUCGUCUGUUCUUGUGAUCACGUUCACCCAUCCACCAUCUCGUCGUCAAGCUGACAUCUGCGUGUGGCCGUGUGCCCAUGUGCCGAUCGAAGUGACGUUGCGGCAAGGCACGGGCCGAUUGCCAUCUUGAGAGCAAGGAAAACAGUAGCAGCGUUGCCGUGCUGUGCUGUGUGUGUGUCUCCCCCUCCUAAUUUCUCUGUCUUUUGCUGUGCUUUCCUCCAUCCACUGUAAUGGGCGCGUGUGUGCGCGUUCGCCUUACGUUUCUGCGGACGACGGGUGCCCAUGUCGACGCGCUUCGUGACGGGCGCGGUCAAAGAAGAGACCGUUCUCCCUACUUCUCUCCAUGCUUUCUUGUCGUUUGUUUGCUUUGCUCGCGUUACUUGGGUGUCCUUCUGAGUUGUCGGUCGCGCGCCUUUCGGCACCGCUUCUGCCUGCCGGCGUGCGUUGUCGUGGCGGUGCCGCUUCCUUUCGUCACUCCUGUUUCUCACCGCUCUUCUUUGCGUGUUUUUGCUCAGCUCUCUCCUUUUAUGGUCGCUCAUGGUCUCGUGUCUCGAGACGCGCACGGAUGCUCUGCAGCAGCCACAACAACCGCAACAACGUUUCGUGGCGAAUAGAGCAUCUCCGUCGUCUGGCGUACGCGGGCGUCUCGCACAGACUCGCAGUCGACUGUGAAUGAUGGGGAAGGGGUGG